rnacentral:rRNA from 1 species
AUUGAACGCUGGCGGCAGGCCUAACACAUGCAAGUCGAGCGGAUGAAGGGAGCUUGCUCCUGGAUUCAGCGGCGGACGGGUGAGUAAUGCCUAGGAAUCUGCCUGGUAGUGGGGGAUAACGUCCGUAAACGGGCGCUAAUACCGCAUACGUCCUGAGGUAGAAAGUGGGGGAUCUUCGGACCUCACGCUAUCAUAUGAGCCUAGGUCGGAUUAGCUAGUUGGUUGGGUAAAGGCCUACCAAGGCGACGAUCCGUAACUGGUCUGAGAGGAUGAUCAGUCACACUGGAACUGAGACACGGUCCAGACUCCUACGGGAGGCAGCAGUGGGGAAUAUUGGACAAUGGGCGAAAGCCUGAUCCAGCCAUGCCGCGUGUGUGAAGAAGGUCUUCGGAUUGUAAAGCACUUUAAGUUGGGAGGAAGGGCAGUAAGUUAAUACCUUGCUGUUUUGACGUUACCAAAAGAAUAAGCACCGGCUAACUUCGUG